rnacentral:rRNA from 1 species
AGCGAACGCUGGCGGCAGGCUUAACACAUGCAAGUCGAACGGGCACUUCGGUGUCAGUGGCAGACGGGUGAGUAACACGUGGGAACGUACCUUUUGGUUCGGAACAACUGAGGGAAACUUCAGCUAAUACCGGAUAAGCCCUUACGGGGAAAGAUUUAUCGCCGAAAGAUCGGCCGGCGUCUGAUUAGCUAGUUGGUAGGGUAAUGGCCUACCAAGGCGACGAUCAGUAGCUGGUCUGAGAGGAUGAUCAGCCACAUUGGGACUGAGACACGGCCCAAACUCCUACGGGAGGCAGCAGUGGGGAAUAUUGGACAAUGGGGGCAACCCUGAUCCAGCCAUGCCGCGUGAGUGAUGAAGGCCCUAGGGUUGUAAAGCUCUUUUGUGCGGGAAGAUAAUGACGGUACCGCAAGAAUAAGCCCCGGCUAACUUCGUGCCAGCAGCCGCCGCCG